UAUCCGCCCGGGAACUACGAGCACCAGCUUAAAACCCAAAGGACUUGGCGGUGCUUUAGAUCCUACUAGAGGAGCCUGUUCUAGAACCGAUACCCCCCGUUCAACCUCACCCUUCCUUGUUUUUCCCGCCUAUAUACCGCCGUCGUCAGCCCACCCUGUGAAGGUUUAAAAGUAGGCUAGAUUGGCAUAGCCCAGAACGUCAGGCCGAGGUGUAGCGUAUGGAGGGGGAAGAAAUGGGCUACAUUCCCUAUUUUAGGGCAAAACGAAUGAUAUGCUGAAACGCACAUCUUGAAGGAGGAUUUAGCAGUAAGUAGGAAGUAGAGCACUCUGCUGAAAUUGG
rnacentral:rRNA from 1 species